rnacentral:rRNA from 1 species
GUGGGGAAUAUUGGACAAUGGGCGCAAGCCUGAUCCAGCCAUGCCGCGUGAGUGAUGAAGGCCCUAGGGUUGUAAAGCUCUUUUGUGCGGGAAGAUAAUGACGGUACCGCAAGAAUAAGCCCCGGCUAACUUCGUGCCAGCAGCCGCGGUAAUACGAAGGGGGCUAGCGUUGCUCGGAAUCACUGGGCGUAAAGGGUGCGUAGGCGGGUCUUUAAGUCAGGGGUGAAAUCCUGGAGCUCAACUCCAGAACUGCCUUUGAUACUGAAGAUCUUGAGUUCGGGAGAGGUGAGUGGAACUGCGAGUGUAGAGGUGAAAUUCGUAGAUAUUCGCAAGAACACCAGUGGCGAAGGCGGCUCACUGGCCCGAUACUGACGCUGAGGCACGAAAGCGUGGGGAGCAAACAGGAUUAGAAACCCCUGUAGUCC